rnacentral:rRNA from 1 species
GAUGAACGCUGGCGGCGUGCCUAAUACAUGCAAGUCGAGCGAACAGACGAGGAGCUUGCUCCUCUGACGUUAGCGGCGGACGGGUGAGUAACACGUGGAUAACCUACCUAUAAGACUGGGAUAACUUCGGGAAACCGGAGCUAAUACCGGAUAAUAUAUUGAACCGCAUGGUUCAAUAGUGAAAGACGGUUUUGCUGUCACUUAUAGAUGGAUCCGCGCCGCAUUAGCUAGUUGGUAAGGUAACGGCUUACCAAGGCAACGAUGCGUAGCCGACCUGAGAGGGUGAUCGGCCACACUGGAACUGAGACACGGUCCAGACUCCUACGGGAGGCAGCAGUAGGGAAUCUUCCGCAAUGGGCGAAAGCCUGACGGAGCAACGCCGCGGGAGUGAUGAAGGUCUUCGGAUCGUAAAACUCUGUUAUUAGGGAAGAACAAAUGUGUAAGUAACUAUGCACGUCUUGACGGGACCUAAUCAGAAAGCCACGGCUAACUACGUG